AGUUUUUUGAGAGAUAAUAUUGUAAGCAAUUUAGGCAAUAAAAAUGUUGCUUUUUCAAAAAAUUAAACCAAACUAUUGUAUAUUAUUGCUCUUCAAUAAAUCAAAAGAAUUUCUUAUCCGAUUACUUGAUUAAUCGAUGGAAUAAUCGGUAGAAUACUCAAUUACUAAAAUAAUCGAUAGCUGCAGCCCUAAUACCAAUGUCAAAGAUUGCAUCAACAAAU